UGGUCAGGCUAGUGAUGCCCGAAGUGUC
rnacentral:piRNA from 1 species